GACGAACGCUGGCGGCGUGCUUAACACAUGCAAGUCGAACGCUGAAGCCCUGGCUUUUGUUGGGUUGGAUGAGUGGCGCACGGGUGAGUAACACGUGAGUAACCUGCCCUCUUCUCUGGGAUAACGCCCGGAAACGGGAGCUAAUACUGGAUAUUCACUUAUCUUCGCAUGGGGGUUGGUGGAAAGGUUUGUUCUGGUGGGGGAUGGGCUCGCGGCCUAUCAGCUGGGUGGCGGGGUGAUGGCCUACAAACGCUUUGACGGGUAGGCGGGCUGGGAGGGUGACCGGGCAAAUUGGGAACGAGAUACGGCCCAAACUCCGACGGGGGGCGGGAGUGGGGAAUAUUGGACAAAGGGCGGAAGGCUGAACGAGGGGCGCCGGGUGAGGGAUGGAGGCCUUCGGGUUGGAAACCUCUUGCGCGCAGGGACAAGCCGCAACUGUGGGUUGUGGUGAGGGUAGUGGGUAAGGAAGCGCCGGCUAACUACGUG
rnacentral:rRNA from 1 species